GUCUGUCGUAGAAGAUAGAUUAUGGAACAUUGUGAGGGCCAAUUCCUUGGAUUUCAAUGCCUGGACUACUUUAAUUGAAGAGACAGAGAGUGUUGCAGAGGUGCAUUAGCUGGAUUUUUGAGUCAUUGGAUGAAUCCUUUGGAAUUUCCGUUACGUUAUGGUUAUUGGAAAAAGUAUGCAGAUCAUGAGGAGGGCACAUAGGGUGUAGGGGUUUCGCGCAGCCGGGGGUGGGGGGUCCAGUGAAUUGCAGAGCUGCUCAGUUCUUCCUAUUUAAGAUGAGUUCAAUCCCUAGCUUAAUUCUUUAAAAACAUCUAAUUUCAUGUUUCCUUUCCAUUCUGAUUCCGACAGCAUGUUUGGGAUAGGUUACGGUUGAAAUUUUGGUUUAAUCUGCAAUUAAUUAUCCGUACAAGCAUCAGUUUUGAUUACGUUUUCAAUUUUUGCUUUAAUCUAUAAUUGAUUCUCCAUGCAAACAUCGGUUUUUGUAUUUGAGACACUGUAUUAGCGUCAUUCAAAGAUAUUUUAAGACUAGGCCGGGCUCAUGAAUUGAAGAAAUUUUGGGGUUUGUUUCUUCACUAAUUUCGUGUAAUUUGAGAAUUCAAAUGGUUAACUUUUGGAGCUGAAAUUUUGGGUGAUUUGAGUUGAACAUGUAGGAGAGUGCAAAUUUUUUCAUGCGGAGGUAUUCCUCAUUUUGGCUUAAGGUACUGAAACAGGAGAUGUUUUCUGUUGGAGAAAAUAUCACAGCGUAGAGGAAAAUUAGGUUUUCUUUUGCAAUUUGCACCACCAAAAUAUGUAUGACUUAUUCAUCUUUGUACGGUUGUCUAUGUAAAAAUAUAUUGUGACCUCUUUACAUUUGUUUCUCCUUCUGCAGUUUUUCACCAAACAAACAGAUUAUAGGGAACUUUUUUCUUGCAAUUUUUUCUUGCUUUUAAUGAUCAUGAGGUUUGUAGAUUGAAGGUAUAAGAGCAUUGCUCUUUCGUAACAUAUAAAAUUACCAAGUCGUGUUACAUUUUCCCUUCUAUUUUUUUUUUCAUCAAUUUGCUUCUGAUUCAUGUUUUAACACAUAUUGAAUAAUUUCCAAAUUAACGGCUGGUUCUUGCAGCCGCGUGAAGAGACUGACUAUUCAAGCAUCGCAAGUUAAUUCAAGGGCCUUAAUCACUAUAUAAGGGUGAGAAAGGGAUCAUCGAUCUGAAAUGAGCUUUUUAUGGAAGCAAUUUACCCACUCAUUCACCUCAAAUUCUUUUUCGUCAUAGAUUGUUCUGCCUUCAAUUCAAUGACAAGCUAUACGCAAGAAGGUAAGCUAGUUUAGUUUGAGGAUGUACGAACUUCAAUGGCUGUGAGUAAGCUUGAAUGUGGCCAAAUUUGGGUAAGAACCGUGAAACUCCAAUUCUAAUUUUGUCCUCUUUUGAAUAUAAGAGCGAAAAUUGGUGUAUUUAUACCCUUUUUGUUGUGAAUCAUGCAAAUUAAGUGUCUUUCGAGGUAUUAUGGGUAUUUUCUCGGAAUUAGGGUUCAGGGUUGAUGAAUUUUGUGUUAUUAAACUUGAUUGUGCCUUCUUUUCGGUCCUUGCUGUAAUUUUCUUA